rnacentral:rRNA from 1 species
GGGGAAUAUUGCGCAAUGGGGGGAACCCUGACGCAGCCAUGCCGCGUGAAUGAAGAAGGCCUUCGGGUUGUAAAGUUCUUUCGGUAUUGAGGAAGGUUGAUGUGUUAAUAGUACAUCAAAUUGACGUUAAAUACAGAAGAAGCACCGGCUAACUCCGUGCCAGCAGCCGCGGUAAUACGGAGGGUGCGAGCGUUAAUCGGAAUAACUGGGCGUAAAGGGCACGCAGGCGGUUAUUUAAGUGAGGUGUGAAAGCCCCGGGCUUAACCUGGGAAUUGCAUUUCAGACUGGGUAACUAGAGUACUUUAGGGAGGGGUAGAAUUCCACGUGUAGCGGUGAAAUGCGUAGAGAUGUGGAGGAAUACCGAAGGCGAAGGCAGCCCCUUGGGAAUGUACUGACGCUCAUGUGCGAAAGCGUGGGGAGCAAACAGGAUUAGAUACCCUGGUAGUCCACGCUGUAAACGCUGUCGAUUUGGGGAUUGGGCUUAAAGCUUGGUGCCCGUAGCUAACGUGAUAAAUCGACCGCCUGGGGAGUACGGCCGCAAGGUUA